UUCUAUUGAAUUAAAAAACCAUUCAACCUCCAUAUUACAUUUAUAUAAUUCAAAUUAGAUUGAACACAAAGGAAAUCCAUCCAAAUUUACAUACUAAGCUACCAAACUCCCAAUAAUGAAAAUGUAGUAAUUAAAUUAUACCAUAACAAAAUUUUAAUUACUUCAAAUUAGGUAUGGAUUUCAUACCUUAAAUCUCUUAUUUCCAAGUAAUCCCAACUUGAUAUCCUCCAAGUUAUCCUAAUCUUUAAUUCCCACUUGUCCAAGCUUCCUCAGACUCACAAUUUCUUCACUUAAUCCUACUUGAAAAAAUUUCAAAAUUUAUCCAAAUUGGAGAAGGGAGGCCACGGUUUUUGGAAAGAAGAAUGAUAACAAUUGUUAAGUCAAAAAUUCUUGGUGCCUAAGUUUUGA
rnacentral:lncRNA from 1 species